rnacentral:rRNA from 1 species
GAGCAUCCUGGCGGCGAGUGGCGAACGGGUGAGUAAUACAUCGGAACGUGUCCUGUAGUGGGGGAUAGCCCGGCGAAAGCCGGAUUAAUACCGCAUACGAUCUACGGAUGAAAGCGGGGGAUCGCAAGACCUCGCGCUAUAGGGGCGGCCGAUGGCGGAUUAGCUAGUUGGUGGGGUAAAGGCCCACCAAGGCGACGAUCCGUAGCUGGUCUGAGAGGACGACCAGCCACACUGGGACUGAGACACGGCCCAGACUCCUACGGGAGGCAGCAGUGGGGAAUUUUGGACAAUGGGCGCAAGCCUGAUCCAGCAAUGCCGCGUGUGUGAAGAAGGCCUUCGGGUUGUAAAGCACUUUUGUCCGGAAAGAAAUCCUCUGGGUUAAUACCCCGGGGGGAUGACGGUACCGGAAGAAUAAGCACCGGCUAACUACGUGCCAGCAGCCGCGGUAAUACGUAGGGUGCGAGCGUUAAUCGGAAUUACUGGGCGUAAAGCGUGCGCAGGCGGUGAUGUAAGACCGAUGUGAAAUCCCCGGGCUUAACCUGGGAACUGCAUUGGUGACUGCAUCGCUGGAGUAUGGCAGAGGGGGGUAGAAUCCACGUGUAGCAGUGAAAUGCGUAGAGAUGUGGAGGAAUACCGAUGGCGAAGGCAGCCCCCUGGGCCCAUACUGACGCUCAUGCACGAAAGCGUGGGGAGCAACAGGAUU